GUAAAGUAACCUACUUCAUUCAAUAUCGAAUAGGCUACUGUAGCCUACACUAUGUACAAAUGGUUUUGCUCUUUGCUCAUGGCAUCAGUCAAUGAUCAAACUAGUAUAUGAAUUACAGUCCAAGCGGGUUAGGCAAGGCAAGGCAAUUUUAUUUUUAUAGCCCGUUUUUACAAACAGUUUGUCUCAAAGGGCUUUACAUAGCAUGAGCAUCAUAACAACAUCCUCUUCCCUUAAACCCUCACAUCGACUGAGUAAAAACUCCCAGGAAAACCCAGGGGAAAAAUUGCAGUUGGUUCAGACUGGGGAUGGAGCUGUGGAGAAUAUGUGGAAACACAGAGAGACUGCGAGACGCCAAGGCCAAAUUACAAGGUGCGAAAGGUGAGGGGGGGGGGGGGGGCUGUACUUAAAUUUAGUUAGAGUGUCUGCCUCUCUGACCCAUGGGGAGAGCUGGUUCCACAGUAAAGGAGCCCAGUAACUGAAUGAUCUACUUCCCAGUCUGUUUUUAGAGAUAAUGGGAGUCACUAACAGACCUGCAUUCUGGGAGCCAAUAAAAAU